UAUAAGUACUUUGUACAGGUGCUGGGCAUUAAAGCUAACUAGUUAACUGCAGCUUGUAAUUAGCAUGCCGAACGGCUAACAUUAGCAUGUUCUCGGUACCCGAUGUGCACAAACUGUAGCCCUGCUUUGGAGCUGGGAGUGUCAACUGUUAGUUGAGUUAACCUCGUUAAUGACUUAAAUGAUAACUAAGAUAACUAAGGAGGGCAACCGCAGACAGAACAGAACACAGACUGCGAAGGCUCGCUUGGAGACUGGACCAGUGCUCUUAUGGCCUGAUCAAAACCUUCUGCAGCACCAGAAGUUGUCUGAGGAAAGAUCAUCAACAUCCAGGCUGCGCUAGAUGAGCACGAUGAAGCACACCACUCCAUUCCCCACCAUGCACACCAGGAAGAUGAGCAGGUAGGACACGAUGAAGAUGGCUGCAGUAGACGGCUGAUGCAGCAAUCCGUCCAAUAAUAGGUGAGAGAUUUCAGCCUGCGCUGACUGUAGUGGACCGAACGACCGACAGGGUCAGGUUUUACCAAAGAAUAUGACUGAAACGUUUUAUCACAAGAAAACUUGCUCUCCACAUGCAACAGAGGAGAAUGGCUCAUUGGUGAUUCGUAUAAGGGAGCCAUGCUUGAGCACUGAGGUCCAAGUCUUUGAGAGGUGGGACCUGGAUGACAGCUUUUGAACCGGCGGAUUGCUCAACAGAUUAGAGGUUUAAUGUUCCAGAUGUACAUUCUACCUCAGCUGCAUCCAUAAUGAAAACUGCCGCUGGCGUGAUGGUACAGUAAGGAGAGACAGAAACACAGUCAUUCUCAAUGGAAAGGGGAAGGUUUGACUCCUCAGUUGCUGUUUGUUGGUAUGUGAGCACUUCAGAGGAGAGAACCACUCUAGGAAGCCACGCAGGCUGAUAGCGCCGUGUUCAAGUUUCACACCUGGCCUGAGGGAGUUACUGAUAGUGAAAGUGGAUAUUAUACCUUCAACAAGUCAGCAGCGCUCAGCUUUGCCCUGCCUAAGGAGCUUUGGCUGCAGAGAACAUGAUGCAGAAUAAGAUGUUUGGGGUGAUUUAGAAUUGGUGUCUUCACAUAGUUUUGCCCAGCAGAGCGCCGAACGGACUCCAUAGUGUACAAUACUCUCAGCACUGUCUGCAGCACAUGUGGCAGAGUACGCAUCGCAGCUGGUGCGGAGCCAUGCAGCGUCUUCACGAUCUUCUGGCGGUGAAGAGUCUGUCAUCACAGUCCAGAAGUGAUGUGGAGACAGCAGGAGCCAGUCAGAAUUGAGUGUACGCCAACCAGCUGGCAGUUGGCAGUUUUCAUGUACAAGGUCCUUCUGAGCUGGCACAAAAAUAUCUCAGAGCUCACUUUGCCGGUCCACACUCUGUUUAUGUCUGUGUACUUUAAACUUUGGAGUUUCUUCAACUAGUUUUUUUUUGUCAUUCCAUACUUUUCUUUUUCUUUUUUUGUUUUUAUCAUUAGAAAUUUUGUUUCUUAAACGUAUUCAGCUCAAUUUCUUAUGUAAUGUCUUUGUGUAUAAAAAAACAAACGCUAAAUGCAAAAAAAAUGGCUCGCUUUUUGAAGCUGCUACAAAACAAGGCAUGAGUAAAACAUUUGAAGGCUGAUUUUCAAGACUUAUUAUCCUGAAGUUUGUACAAAUUUCAGUCUAAAGAAUACGUGAUUCUCCUAGAAAAGUUUUUCCCAAUAAGAGUUAUUCGAGGCAGAAUGGAGAAGACUUUGAAACAGUAUUUAGACCAUAAGAAUCUGACUUCAUGAUCUGAUCUGAUCAUUAAAAUGCAAAUAAGAAUGUACAAUGUACUUUAUCAUUAUAUCUGUUUUAAUGUGCUUGCGCUCUUUGCUUCCAUGUAUUUAAGUAUUUUAUCAUGUUUUAUGUAACCGUUUUUUUUUUUUCUUUUUAACACUACAUUAAGUACAUAAAUGGACAGAAUUAAAUCUUUUAA